rnacentral:rRNA from 1 species
GAUGAACGCUGGCGGCGUGCCUAAUACAUGCAAGUCGAGCGAACAGACGAGGAGCUUGCUCCUCUGACGUUAGCGGCGGACGGGUGAGUAACACGUGGAUAACCUACCUAGAAGACUGGGAUAACUUCGGGAAACCGGAGCUAAUACCGGAUAAUAUAUUGAACCGCAUGGUUCAAUAGUGAAAGACGGUUUUGCUGUCACUUAUAGAUGGAUCCGCGCCGCAUUAGCUAGUUGGUAAGGUAACGGCUUACCAAGGCAACGAUGCGUAGCCGACCUGAGAGGGUGAUCGGCCACACUGGAACUGAGACACGGUCCAGACUCCUACGGGAGGCAGCAGUAGGGAAUCUUCCGCAAUGGGCGAAAGCCUGACGGAGCAACGCCGCGUGAGUGAUGAAGGUCUUCGGAUCGUAAAACCCUGUUAUUAGGGAAGAACAAAUGUGUAAGUAACUAUGCACGUCUUGACGGUACCUAAUCAGAAAGCCACGGCUAACUACGUG